AGCGAGGAUGUUUGAGGAGUCGUCUUCCCUUCGUUAUCAUGGUGACGCCUUGCUCCAUAGGAACUUCGCGAGAAGCGA
rnacentral:snoRNA from 1 species